AGCAGCCGCGGUAAUUCCAGCUCCAAUAGCGUAUAUUAAAGUUGCUGCAGUUAAAAGCUCGUAGUUGAAUUUCGGGACCAUCAUGUUGGUCGUGCCUCGGUACGUACUGGUAUUGUUGGUUUCUCCCUUCUGACGAACCAUGAUGUCAUUUAUUUGGUGUUGUGGGGAAUCAGGACUGUUACUUUGAAAAAUUAGAGUGUUUAAAGCAGGCUCACGCUUGAAUACAUUAGCAUGGAAUAAUGAAAUAGGACGUUUUGAUUCUAUUUUGUUGGUUUCUAGGAUCGACGUAAUGAUUAAUAGGGAUAGUUGGGGGCAUUAGUAUUCAAUUGUCAGAGGUGAAAUUCUUGGAUUUAUUGAAGACUAACUACUGCGAAAGCAUUUGCCAAG
rnacentral:rRNA from 1 species